rnacentral:rRNA from 1 species
UGACAGCAGUCGCCGCGGUAAUACGGAGGGUGCAAGCGUUAAUCGGAAUUACUGGGCGUAAAGCGCACGCAGGCGGUCUGACAAGUCAGAUGUGAAAUCCCCGGGCUUAACCUGGGAACUGCAUUUGAAACUGUCAGGCUGGAGUCUUGUAGAGGGGGGUGGAAUUCCAGGUGUAGCGGUGAAAUGCGUAGAGAUCUGGAGGAAUACCGGUGGCGAAGGCGGCCCCCUGGACAAAGACUGACGCUCAGGUGCGAAAGCGUGGGGAGCAAACAGGAUUAGAUACCCCUGUAGUCCCUGUCUCUUAUAC